CGUAGGUGGCAAGCGUUUGUCCGGAAUUAUUGGGCGUAAAGCGCGCGCAGGCGGCUUCUUAAGUCCAUCUUAAAAGUGCGGGGCUUAACCCCGUGAUGGGAUGGAAACUGAGAGGCUGGAGUAUCGGAGAGGAAAGUGGAAUUCCUAGUGUAGCGGUGAAAUGCGUAGAGAUUAGGAAGAACACCGGUGGCGAAGGCGACUUUCUGGACGACAACUGACGCUGAGGCGCGAAAGCGUUGGGGAGCAAACAGGGAUUAGAU
rnacentral:rRNA from 1 species